rnacentral:lncRNA from 1 species
GGGCGUGGAAGCAAAAGACAGCGGGUCUCUGCGAGUCACUCUUGUUCAGUCUCAGGACCCUGGGAGACACUCAUGGUUUCCUGGGCUUUUUCCCAGGAAUUUGGCAUUGAACUUGAUGUUAAUCUGAGGGAGUUUCCAGUUCCUGGCUGCGAGGCUGGAUGAGGACACGUGGCCCCGAGGCACAGAGAGCCCAGGGCUGUGGGCAGAGAAGAGUCAGAGCCUCAGGGGCCUCGCCCUGUCCAGAACUCCACGUGACAUGACGCCCCACAGAGCGAACCUCUGACAAACAAGCAUGGGGCCCGUGUUGCCCUAGUGGAUGGAAAUGGACGUGGGAAGCAAGAAACUUGGGCCAGCUCCUGUUCAGUUCAAACUGGUUGAGACCACUGACACUUCAACGGAGCCUGUGCAAGUGCCCGAGAGGUGGCCUUUUGACUUCAGAAGGCCCAAAGUUCCACCCUUAUGUUAUGCUAAUGCCGCCUUUCUAUACAUAUGUCCUAUGAAAUACUGUGAACCCUGUGCAGAAAGAACCUGUUACUUCAUUUUCCCCCACUGCCAAUCACCUUUCCUCACCCUGUGUCCCUAACCCAUAAAUAUCCCUCAGCCUUAUCUUCAGGGAAGUGGAUUUGAAAACUAUUCUCCCACCUCCGCACUUGGUGUCCUUGGGAAUAAAUUCUUUCCCUCUUACAAAACUA